CCACGUAGGACUCAUAUGANAGUCGAGCGGAUGACGGGAGCUUGCUCCUUGAUUCAGCGGCGGACGGGUGAGUAAUGCCUAGGAAUCUGCCUGGUAGUGGGGGACAACGUUUCGAAAGGAACGCUAAUACCGCAUACGUCCUACGGGAGAAAGCAGGGGACCUUCGGGCCUUGCGCUAUCAGAUGAGCCUAGGUCGGAUUAGCUAGUUGGUGAGGUAAUGGCUCACCAAGGCGACGAUCCGUAACUGGUCUGAGAGGAUGAUCAGUCACACUGGAACUGAGACACGGUCCAGACUCCUACGGGAGGCAGCAGUGGGGAAUAUUGGACAAUGGGCGAAAGCCUGAUCCAGCCAUGCCGCGUGUGUGAAGAAGGUCUUCGGAUUGUAAAGCACUUUAAGUUGGGAGGAAGGGCAGUAAGUUAAUACCUUGCUGUUUUGACGUUACCGACAGAAUAAGCACCGGCUAACUCUGUGCCAGCAGCCGCGGUAAUACAGAGGGUGCAAGCGUUAAUCGGAAUUACUGGGCGUAAAGCGCGCGUAGGUGGUUCGUUAAGUUGGAUGUGAAAGCCCCGGGCUCAACCUGGGAACUGCAUCCAAAACUGGCGAGCUAGAGUACGGUAGAGGGUGGUGGAAUUUCCUGUGUAGCGGUGAAAUGCGUAGAUAUAGGAAGGAACACCAGUGGCGAAGGCGACCACCUGGACUGAUACUGACACUGAGGUGCGAAAGCGUGGGGAGCAAACAGGAUUAGAU
rnacentral:rRNA from 1 species